AGCGAACGCUGGCGGCAUGCCUAACACAUGCAAGUCGCACGGGGGGGCUUCGGCCUCCCAGCGGCGGACGGGUGAGGAACGCGUAGGGACCUGUCGAGGGGUGGGGGAUAACCGCGGGAAACUGCGGCUAAUACCGCAUGACGCCGCGGCGUGACAGCCGGGGCCAAAGGCGAAAGCCGCCCGCCGAGGGGCCUGCGUCCGAUUAGCUGGUUGGCGGGGUAGCGGCCCACCAAGGCGUCGAUCGGUAGCUGGUCUGAGAGGGUGAUCAGCCACACCGGGACUGAGACACGGCCCGGACUCCUACGGGAGGCAGCAGUGGGGAAUAUUGGACAAUGGGCGCAAGCCUGAUCCAGCAAUGCCGCGUGGGUGAAGAAGGUCUUCGGAUUGUAAAGCCCUUUCGGCGGGGACGAUGGUGACGGUACCCGCAGAAGAAGCCCCGGCUAACUUCGUG
rnacentral:rRNA from 1 species